GAUGAACGCUGGCGGCGUGCUUAACACAUGCAAGUCGAACGAUGAAAGCGGGAGCUUGCUCCUGCUGGAUUAGUGGCGAACGGGUGAGUAACACGUGAACAAUCUGCCCCGAACUCUGGGAUAAGCGUUGGAAACGACGUCUAAUACCGGAUACGACGCGCGAAGGCAUCUUCUGCGCGUGGAAAGAAUUUCGGUUCGGGAUGAGCUCGCGGCCUAUCAGCUAGUUGGUGAGGUAACGGCUCACCAAGGCGACGACGGGUAGCCGGCCUGAGAGGGUGACCGGCCACACUGGGACUGAGACACGGCCCAGACUCCUACGGGAGGCAGCAGUGGGGAAUAUUGCACAAUGGGCGCAGGCCUGAUGCAGCAACGCCGCGUGAGGGACGACGGCCUUCGGGUUGUAAACCUCUUUUAGCAGGGAAGAAGCGAAAGUGACGGUACCUGCAAAAAAAGCACCGGCUAACUACGUGCCAGCCGCCGCCGUAACAC
rnacentral:rRNA from 1 species